UGCGCGCUGCUGGGGCGCAGCCUCAGCCUCAGAACCCAGGAAGGUGAGGCGGCUCCGAAGUCAGGAGCGCUGAGCCCGGCUCGGCUCCCUGCACUUCCCUGUCCUCUGGUACCCUCCAUCUUCACCUCAGCGAAAGUGAUGAACUGUGGUUAUCCUGGAAGAGCUCAGCUAAGCCGUAUUCCGCAGCAGGUGGCAAAGGCUGGACUGAAGGCCUGGAGAAACUGGGAGUGUCUGAGGCUAUUUAUUUGAACACAGGAGCUUUGCUGCUUAUGAACACAUCAUCCCUGUUCACCUGUGGUCUUAAUUCUGAGUUU